UCCAAAAUCUGAAAAGUUGUUUUGUGUGGUUUCCGUAAUAUACAGGCGUAAUAUGUAGACCCGAUGAACCAAUCAGAGGACAUUACGUUUUAUGUAGAUCAGGGCA